rnacentral:rRNA from 1 species
UACGUAGGUGGCAAGCGUUGUCCGGAUUUAUUGGGCGUAAAGCGCGUGUAGGCGGCCAGAUAGGUCUGCUGUGAAAACUCGAGGCUCAACCUCGAGCUGUCGGCGGAAACCAUCUGGCUAGAGUCCGGAAGAGGAGAGUGGAAUUCCUGGUGUAGCGGUGAAAUGCGCAGAUAUCAGGAAGAACACCUAUUGCGAAGGCAGCUCUCUGGGACGGUACUGACGCUGAGACGCGAAAGCGUGGGGAGCGAACAGG